GACGAACGCUGGCGGCGUGCUUAACACAUGCAAGUCGAACGGAAAGGCCCUGCUUUUGUGGGGUGCUCGAGUGGCGAACGGGUGAGUAACACGUGAGUAACCUGCCCUUGACUUUGGGAUAACUUCAGGAAACUGGGGCUAAUACCGGAUAGGAGCUCCUGCUGCAUGGUGGGGGUUGGAAAGUUUCGGCGGUUGGGGAUGGACUCGCGGCUUAUCAGCUUGUUGGUGGGGUAGUGGCUUACCAAGGCUUUGACGGGUAGCCGGCCUGGGAGGGUGACCGGCCACAUUGGGACUGAGGUACGGCCCAGACUCCUACGGGAGGCAGCAGUGGGGAAUAUUGCACAGUGGGCGGGAGCCUGAUGCAGCAGCGCCGCGUGCGGGAUGACGGCCUGCGGGUUGUAAACCGCUUUCGCCUGUGACGAAGCGUGAGUGACGGUAAUGGGUAAAGAAGCACCGGCUAACUACGUG
rnacentral:rRNA from 1 species